UAGACUGAUGAUGAGAGUAUGUCAUGAAGUAAGGAUUAAGGUCAAUCCAAUUCUGAGCAAUUGAGAUCCAAA
rnacentral:snoRNA from 1 species